rnacentral:misc_RNA from 1 species
AAAAUAAUCCUACCCUUUGUGAAUUUUGUUUGUUUGAAUAAUUUUUUUUUUUUAAAAAAUUAUUGGAGCCUUUCCCUUUAGAGUUUGCUUUUGAGUUUGUAAAAGAAUUCGAAAACAUCUAAAGGGGAUGGUCAAUAAUUUUUUUUGAAAAAAGACAUUUUUUAAAAUUAAACUUUUUGUAUUCAUUUGUCUAAAAAUUAUUUUUAUAAUAUAAAAACAACUUUGACAGUGGAUCUCUUGGUUCUCGCAACGAUGAAGAACGCAGCAAAAUGCGAUAAGUAGUGUGAAUUGCAGAAUACGUGAAUCAUCGAAUCUUUGAACGCAUAUUGCACUUUUUUAGUUUACUAAAAAGUAUGUCUGUUUGAGUAUCAGUAAAAUAUUCUCAUAAAAAUCAUUGUGUAUUUUUAUGGUUAUGAGUGUUUUACAACGAUACAAGUUGUUUCACUUUAAAUUUUUUUUUAAUAUUGAAAUUUUUCUAAUUUUAAUAAUUAAAAUUGGAUAAAAUUUUCCCGUCAAAAGGAAUAACCUAAACAAUUUUAAAUGAUUAAUUUUAGCAAAAUUUUCGAAAAAAAGGAAAAUUUUUAUUAAAAUAACUUGAUCUCAAAUCAGAUAAGAGUACCCGCUGAACUUAAGCAUAUCAAUAAGCGGAGGAAAAGAAACUAACAAGGAUUCCCUUAGUAACGGCGAGUGAAGCGGGAAGAGCUCAAAUUUGAAAUCUUCAAGGUUUUACCUUGACGAAUUGUAGUUUAAAGAAGUGUUUUCUGCUGAAGUUUGGUAAAAGUUCUUUGGAAUAGGACAUCAUAGAGGGUGAGAAUCCCGUAUUUGACCAUUAUUUUCAGCUUUGUGAUACACUUUCAAAGAGUCGGAUUGUUUGGGAAUGCAGUCCAAAAUGGGUGGUAAAUUUCAUCUAAAGCUAAAUAUUGGCGAGAGACCGAUAGCGAACAAGUACCGUGAGGGAAAGAUGAAAAGAACUUUGAAAAGAGAGUUAAACAGUACGUGAAAUUGUCAAAAGGGAAGCGUUUGACACCAGUGUUGUUUUCUCGAAAAUUAAUUAAAAAUGGCUCGAUUUGUAUUGCUGAGACCUUAAAAGCUCACUGUACAUUUUUCGUGUCUUUUUUAAUGCACUUUUCGUUUAACAAGUCAACAUCAGUUUCUUUUGUUGUAAAAGGGUCAUUGGAAGGUGGCUUUCUUUUCGGAGAAAGUGUUUAUAGCCUUUGGCCUCUGCAAUCGAAGAGACCGAGGUCUGCAGCGUAGACUCUUCGGGGUUAGAUACAUUUGUGCUAAGUUAUAGCUUUUUUAUAGACAACUUGUUGACUAUAAUUAGUCUUGUAGCUUACUCGCUUAUGCUAUUUUACCUACGCUUAGGAUG